AAGAAUAAUAAAAAAAUCAAGCAAGAGAAUUGGAUGCAGAAGUAGACAGAGGGCAUGUCUACAUGAGCCAUUUACAGCAGAGCUGCCUAAUAAGCUCCUCAGUAAAGUCUCAGUAUCUACAUGUGUGGUCCUAUUAGGCCACAAGAAACUAACUCCACUUCAGGUUAGUACUUGCAAAAACAAGUACUAUCCUGCAGUGAAGUUCUUUACUGUGCAGCAGUGCAAGUAUAGAUGCUGGUGGGGCUGGCUGGGACACGAGGGUGCUUCAGAGCAGGGGCUGCCUGCCAGCUACCCCGCACUUGCGCACCCUUGUGCCCCAGCCAGCCCCUCUGCAGCACAUUGAGCUAGGUCAGACCAAGGGGGUUCAUUUCACAUGUAGACACACCCAGAGAAUCAGAUUCUGCUUUUCUUUGUACUAGAGUAAUUCCAGAAUGUAAUUCUAGAGUAAUUCCAAAUACUUCCUAGCUACUAUAUAGGUGCACCAGAGCAAAUGAAAGCAGACUAUGUCCAAGGGAAAGACUCUUGAGUUUAUACUAAAGGCAAUCUCAUCAGUCAACCUGCCCAUGUGAAUAUUGGGAAAUCAACUCUUUUAGACAACUGUGGAAGCAAAGCUGCAAUAUAACAGUGCUCUUGAAUGCAAAUCAAUGAAAAAUUGGCCAGUGUGCAAAUGCUCAUUUGUCAUAUCCCUUGCAAAUAUACUUUAAUUGUUUUCAUAUUUAAAUGCCCGAAUCAACCAUAAUAAAUGUGAGAUGUCAUGUUGCUGAGCGAUUUCCAAAAACAAAAGAUCUCUGAGGCAUUUGGUGACUUAUUGCCAGUUCCCAGUGUUCUCUUUACAAUCAUAAAAGGGCAAGGAUCAAAAGAAGGACAAAUCCAUCAUCUGUGGUUGAAGUUUCCCUACCUUAAAAACAGGAUUUGUUAGCUCAUAUUAACUUAUUUAAUACUGUUUGUCUCAGACAGCCGAAGCCGACUUGAGGAGGAUCGCUGAUUACUCGGCCGUCAGGCGGGCUGGUGGAUGGAGAGGCAGGACGCAGUGUAUUGGUUGAAAAAUAACUUUUACUUUAACUUUACUUACGCCGCUGAUGGCCGCUACGCAGGUGGUAAGGUUGCUUACGUAGUUACAGGUAACAAGUUGCUUGCGUAGUUACAGGUAACUGGCAACAAAACGAGCCAGCGAGUUUGUAGACAGUAACGAUCAUGCAGGAUGAAGGAUACGUCGGGAACAGAUGGUGACGGGGAGAUGUUGGAGGGUGAUCAGUCCGCCAGCUUUUCUCUGCCACGUGGCAAAGUUCUCCGUACUCUACCACGUGCUCAGAGCUCUCCGACUUGGGCGGAAGCUGCACGGAUUUUUAUACGUUUAGAGUAGCCAAUAACAGACUGCCAGGUGGGAAUAGCUAAUGAGGCAGAAUGUACCAAAUUUGAAAGUAACUGCGGUUAUUCAGGGCAGUUCUAUUGUGACAGGGGCACUCAACUCAUUUGGUUAUGACACUGUUAUCCUCUCUUACUUUUUUUUUUGUUUACUUUGCCUGUCUACAUAGCUAGGUAUUAGCCAGGAAUCCUGUACAGUUACAAUUGAAUGAUGUUUUAUGUGCAAAUAUAAGUUUUCAUUUUCUUUAUUUUCAAUAUGGCUCAUUCUUUUCUUCACCUCAGUACUGUGCUGCUAAGAAGACUCGCUCUUUUCUCAUCAGCUCUUUGUUCUAAGUGUUAAGAUGGCAUUUAUUCUUCUUUGGAUACUUCUUUUUUUUUUCCUCUCUAUCUCUCUUGUCUUGUCACCCCAUCCCCCAACUCCAUCAGCUUUCCAUUUUGUAUAUCUUGAUGUAGCUAUUCCCCACAUCCUGCCAGUUGCUAGAGUUUCCAGACAGUGGCAUCUUGGGACCAAUGUGUGUUGAUAAAGCAGUAAAAGAGACGCUGGAGCUCUGGUCAUUCGGGAUAUAAUUAAGAAGUUCACCUCAACAGCGUGCCUUAGAGGAAUCUUCUCUCCUGGUUUAUGUCAUCAAUCCUUAGAUAUUUCUGUAGAAGAGGAAGGGAGGGAUUUUCCUUCACUCCACAGUGGGGGGUGGAAUUCUGCUGAACACUAUUAGUUAUCUUGGCUUUUGUACAACACACACACACACAAGAAGAAAGAUAAGGUCUUUGCCUUUAAGAUCAAUCAGUAACACCCCUUCUUAUAUUCUGACUAAAAUGGGAGUGAUUUAGAAUGAUCUGUUUUCUGCCUCCAUUCCAAUUAUAGACCACUAGGGAAAUCUGUUGGUUCAUUGUGAAUGAGAAAAUAUGGAUUUUUGGAACACUAAUGCACAUAUAAGCUGUCAUUGUCUGCUCCUGGAAAUACAUACCAUUUGAGGGAGAGGAGGAAAAAUAAAAGUUGAAGGAAAGACAUAUGCAAGGUGAGUGAAGUGAGAUGAGAAAUAAGGGUGGAACAGAAAGAGAGGACAGGCAUGAAGUUGGGCUGUAGGAGAUAUGGACAGAAGGGAUUGGGAGUAAGGUAGGUGAAAAGGGACAUGCUCCCCUCCAGAACCAAGAUUCCAGUCUGUCUGUCGCACUGCUUUUAUGAAUAGCUGUGAAGUGCCAAGUGUCUCCCACCCAGACAUCCCAGCACAUCUGCCCUGCACCUGCUGCCAGGGGUACUGGACAAAGGUGGGAAGGUGGGAUCUCCAUGGAAAUCGGCCCAGGAACCCUGUGGACAUGGCAUGCUCAGCUGGGUGAUGGGAUGGGGCCAUGAGCAGGCAAGGAGCAGUAUCUGGGAGAGGGUGGGUAGCCUGGGCUGGGGUCAAAAUCACGAGGCAGUGACAGCAUGGGGCUGAAGCCUGGGACACAGCCAUGAUCCGCUCCCCACACAUUCCUGUGACAAGCACCAGUUCCAUGGGCAGGGACAUGCAGGGUGCAGAUCACAGCUCUGCCCUAGGUCCCAGCCGUGCACUGUUACUGCCCCACAAUCCCAGCCCCAGUCCACCCACCCAUUGCACUCCCCAACGCUAUUCUCCACCUGGCUGCUCUGACCAGCACCCGUAGCGGUGGGCACAGGACAGAUGGGCCCAGGCCAGAAAAGAUCAAUUGACCUCCCAUUUCUCACUGUACCAGGCCAGGUGAGCACCACCCUCCUAUUGGCCCGCAACAGCUCACCAAAACUCACUAAAGGGCCCUCCAGCCCAAAUAAUUGCCUGAUUUACAUAGAGGUAACAACAUACCAUUGCUGUCCAUUACUCUGUUAUCUCCAAUGACAGAGAUCUGUACAGAGGACCUUAAGAUUCCAUCCCUGUUGAUACCACCUAUGGAUAUCAACAUGACGACACAGUGUGGUGCUUGUUUUUCAGUUUGUCCUUUUUAAAUAAUCCUAGGAAAUAUUUAAAAUUAAUAUUACUAAAAUUAAGGUGGCUGGUUUUGGAAAUCACUAGAUUUUCAAAGCUAGGAAAUGCCAAUAAAUAAGUUUCCUGGGCAGCCUUAAUUUGGCUCCUUUGUAAUUAAGGACUGCAUUAUAAAACACAUGAUUAUCAUCUAUGACAGUGGUCACCACCCUGUCAAUCAGGAUUGACUGGUAGAUCCCAGAGCCUCUUGAAGUUGAUCCUGGACUGUGCAUGCACACCCUGCCCCCUCCCCCUCCCCCCUACAGCCCAGCAGGUCAGUCAGUGGGGGAAGGAAGGGGCAGAGGCCCGAGGGGCACAUGCAGUGGGACUCAGGGCACAAAGCCCAGUCCACCAUGCACAGAUGUGGAGGACGUGCCCCCCCCCCAAGCACGAGGCAACACUGGCGGCUGCAGCAGCUCAGGUAGGGAGGGGAGCAGGGGCAGGCCCUGCACAACCAGGGCAGAGUGGUGGACGGAGCCGUGAGCCGCUCAUCUCGGGAUGUGGGGAGGGGGGUCCACACCUACUUUGUGGCUGCAUCAGGGUUGUCUAGUUAAUUGUUUAUAGUUCCCUUGUGUUGUGUUGUAGAAACUGAAAUGUGUAGAGUAAUUGAGGCAAAGUAUUACAGGAAGAGAAGAGAUAGUUUUGUGGUUAGCCAGUUAAAUGUUACCCUGGAGAAGUUAAUUUUUCCUUUUUCUGCAGUGUUCACAUGCAGUGUUUUGCAAGUCACUUAGAUAGUUCUUAGUUAAUCUCUAAUUGCAUGUUCCUCAUUUACAAAAUAUUGAACUUGAGACCCUUGGACUGAGCAUUGAAAUUACUGAAAGCUUAGCUCUGAACAUGUAAAGUACCAUAACAAUGCCGAGUAUUCUGUGGCCCGUGAAGUCUCAUUAUGAGCAUCCAAAAAUAGUGGAUACAUUCGACUUUAAUCUCUUUAAGUGGAGAUAGCAACACUCCAAGAACUUGCAGUGCUGUUGAAAACACACAAAGAGAGUAAUGUUUGUGAAGCAGUCCGAUACUGCUGAUGAGAACUAUAGAAAAGAGUUUAAAUAAUGUGUUGUUAAAAUAGGGCUUGGGGCCUCACAUUGCACAAUGUGGAUAAAGCAAAAUAUUGGCCACCUGUUAAUUGAAUAUUUGAUGUUUUAUGGACGCUCAUAGAUGUUUGAUGGCUUGCCUUUAUUAAUGGAAAUGGGCAAAUUUUCCACCAACUUCAAUAGUGCUGGAUCCAA